GAAUGGACUCCACUGUCUAUGGAUUGAGACUUCUGAAACUAGGGAAAAAUGGAACUUUUGUAAUGAAACAAACCUGGCAGACACAGUUGGACCAAGUGACCAAAGUUAACAUCGCCAAUUACAACCCAUAUGGACAUCAUGUACCUCCUAUUAUAGACCCGGGAUUGUGUAAAGUAAGCUCCUCACAGGAGGUGGAGGACCUCCUUGCCCCAACUCUGCAGGACCACACUUUAGUGUCUUCAGAGGUAGAAGAGAACAGUUUAAGACAUCUUAAGGAGGAAAAGAAAGAGAAGUUCUUGGAGAAGUCUGAACUCCAAUUUCACAACCAAGUCUGAUAUCUCUCACAAUGAAAAAUAAACAAUAAACAAACCAAACAAAAAAACUUAAAA